UGUAUAAUGGGUCAGCGACUUAUAUUCUGUAGCAAGGUUAACCGAAUAGGGGAGCCGAAGGGAAACCGAGUCUUAACUGGGCGUUAAGUUGCAGGGUAUAGACCCGAAACCCGGUGAUCUAGCCAUGGGCAGGUUGAAGGUUGGGUAACACUAACUGGAGGACCGAACCGACUAAUGUUGAAAAAUUAGCGGAUGACUUGUGGCUGGGGGUGAAAGGCCAAUCAAACCGGGAGAUAGCUGGUUCUCCCCGAAAGCUAUUUAGGUAGCGCCUCGUGAAUUCAUCUCCGGGGGUAGAGCACUGUUUCGGCAAGGGGGUCAUCCCGACUUACCAACCCGAUGCAAACUGCGAAUACCGGAGAAUGUUAUCACGGGAGACACACGGCGGGUGCUAACGUCCGUCGUGAAGAGGGAAACAACCCAGACCGCCAGCUAAGGUCCCAAAGUCAUGGUUAAGUGGGAAACGAUGUGGGAAGGCCCAGACAGCCAGGAUGUUGGCUUAGAAGCAGCCAUCAUUUAAAGAAAGCGUAAUAGCUCACUGGUCGAGUCGGCCUGCGCGGAAGAUGUAACGGGGCUAAACCAUGCACCGAAGCUGCGGCAGCGACACUAUGUGUUGUUGGGUAGGGGAGCGUUCUGUAAGCCUGCGAAGGUGUACUGUGAGGUAUGCUGGAGGUAUCAGAAGUGCGAAUGCUGACAUAAGUAACGAUAAAGCGGGUGAAAAGCCCGCUCGCCGGAAGACCAAGGGUUCCUGUCCAACGUUAAUCGGGGCAGGGUGAGUCG
rnacentral:rRNA from 1 species